rnacentral:lncRNA from 14 species
GGCUCACAAAAAUAUGGAGAACUAACUGGAUACCUGAGAAGAGAAGAAGGGAAAGAAGAAGACUGGAGAUGCAAAUGCAUAGAUACUUUACCUUGCAUCCUGGGCUUCUGAGACGUCAACAAACACAAAGUGAAUGAG